rnacentral:misc_RNA from 1 species
GAUGAAGAACGUAGCGAAAUGCGAUAAGUAAUGUGAAUUGCAGAAUUCCGUGAAUCAUCGAAUCUUUGAACGCACAUUGCGCCCCCUGGUAUUCCGGGGGGCAUGCCUGUCCGAGCGUCAUUGCUGCCCUCAAGCACGGCUUGUGUGUUGGGCCCCGCCCCCCGGCUCCCGGGGGGCGGGCCCGAAAGGCAGCGGCGGCACCGCGUCCGGUCCUCGAGCGUAUGGGGCUUCGUCACCCGCUCCGUAGGCCCGGCCGGCGCCCGCCGGCGACCCCCCUCAAUCUUUUCAGGUUGACCUCGGAUCAGGUAGGGAUACCCGCUGAACUUAAGCAUAUCAAUAAGCGGAGGA